GGGGCUGUAGCUUGGUGGUAGAACAUCUGCUUUGUGUGCAGAAGGUCCCAGGUUCAAAUCCUGGCAGCAUCU